AGAGUUUGAUCCUGGCUCAGGAUGAACGCUGGCGGCGUGCUUAACACAUGCAAGUCGAGCGAAGCACUUUUGCGGAUUUCUUCGGAUUGAAGCAACUGUGACUGAGCGGCGGACGGGUGAGUAACGCGUUGGUAACCUGCCUCAUACAGGGGGAUAACAGUUGGAAACGGCUGCUAAUACCGCAUAAGCGCACAGUACCGCAUGGUACCGUGUGAAAAACUCCGGUGGUAUGAGAUGGACCCGCGUCUGAUUAGGUAGUUGGUGGGGUAACGGCCUACCAAGCCGACGAUCAGUAGCCGACCUGAGAGGGUGACCGGCCACAUUGGGACUGAGACACGGCCCAAACUCCUACGGGAGGCAGCAGUGGGGAAUAUUGCACAAUGGGGGAAGCCCUGAUGCAGCGACGCCGCGUGAGCGAUGAAGUAUUUCGGUAUGUAAAGCUCUAUCAGCAGGGAAGAAAAUGACGGUACCUGACUAAGAAGCCCCGGCUAACUACGUGCCAGCAGCCGCGGUAAUACGUAGGGGGCAAGCGUUAUCCGGAUUUACUGGGUGUAAAGGGAGCGUAGACGGCAUGGCAAGCCAGAUGUGAAAGCCCGGGGCUCAACCCCGGGACUGCAUUUGGAACUGUCAGGCUAGAGUGUCGGAGAGGAAAGCGGAAUUCCUAGUGUAGCGGUGAAAUGCGUAGAUAUUAGGAGGAACACCAGUGGCGAAGGCGGCUUUCUGGACGAUGGCUGACGUUGAGGCUCGAAAGCGUGGGGAGCAAACAGGAUUAGAUACCCUGGUAGUCCACGCCGUAAACGA
rnacentral:rRNA from 1 species